GAUCUAUGGAUAGCCAACAAAAUUGGGAUAUGAGUCGAUAAGAUGGUAUCUCCUGUAAUUUUGAUCCAAAAUCCUUCACCGAAUCAAUCCAAGGUCCACAAAUUAAAAAUCUUGGACCCUCAAUUGGGUCCAAUAAGCCAUGUAGAGAGAACAGAGAGAUGGAAGGAAGAGAUAAAGAGAAAGAAAAGAUGAGAAAGAAA
rnacentral:lncRNA from 1 species